UACUUGUCAUGGAAAAGUAUACCAAUGGAAAUUAUUUGUUAAAGAAGUAUAAUUCUAAGGGUUUUAAGAAUAAAUUGGUUGAACCCAAAAUCUGGAGGAAGUACCUAUAUCCAUACACAGAAUAUGCCCAUUAAAAAUACUAGUCCAAAUUUGCUUUAAUGGUAGACAAUUAUUCAAUACAAAUUAACUUUUUAAGUGACUGAAAUAUUAAAUAGUUUAGAAUAUGGUAUAACAAUGUAAAAAAAUAUUAUUUUCAGGAACGAUUAGGGCCCGAUAUAUUUGAAACUCAUGUUGGACAUAGUAUUGAGUUGGGUAGAAUAUUAUUCUACGUUAAGUGAGGGUAUCAGAUACCUAUUAUUGUACUGUAUUUUAAUAUAUACAUUAGAAUUGUUGGUUUUUU